UACGUAGGGUCCGAGCGUUGUCCGGAAUUAUUGGGCGUAAAGAGCUCGUAGGCGGUCCGUUAAGUCGGAAGUGAAAUCUCAAGGCUCAACCUUGAAAUCGCUUUCGAUACUGGCGGACUUGAGGCAGGUAGGGGAAGGUGGAAUUCCUGGUGUAGCGGUGAAAUGCGCAGAUAUCAGGAGGAACACCGGUGGCGAAGGCGGGUCUCUGGGCCGUAACUGACGCUGAGGAGCGAAAGCGUGGGGAGCGAACGGG
rnacentral:rRNA from 1 species